rnacentral:lncRNA from 1 species
AUCUCGAAUUGCACUCAAUUCUGAUUGAUCACUUCAGUUGAGUAGAGUACUGUGUUUUUGAAUUCAUGAUGGUGGAGUUAAUAUAAGUCAGUUUAUACAUUCUUGGAAGGUAGUUUAGCAGCCGUAUUAUCCACUAUGGAGCAAGUGUGAAACUCUGAAAAAAGUUAGUACAAGCCAACGUGAUUCAAUAUUUCAAGCUUGAUUUGUUCAACUGCAGAAUUCCUACUAUCUGAUCUUUUAGCAAGAAUUUUAAUUUAGCUUGCUACCAUCGGACAUGAAAAGGCAUCUUUGUGGACAGCUGCUUCAAUAUACAAAGAAUACUGGUUAAUGCAUGCUAACACACAAGGUUCUUGUGAUUAUUGUUUUAUAUACAGUAAUAAGCUCUAGUGGUGCUUUAAUAUAAUAGGCCUACAUUACGGACAAAAAUGCUGAUUUACACAGGACUGUAAUGCGAAGGACUCUAGAAUAAGCUUGAAUUUGAGGUACAGUAUGUGUAGCAGAAGACUUGUACCAGUUUUUAAUUAAAGAAAUUAUGGUUUGUA